rnacentral:lncRNA from 1 species
AUGAAAAUAAAUGGUUGGGGGUCUCAGCUAUUUUCUUUUGGUGUUUAAAGUUGAUGUGCAUGGUGUGAACAAUUUCUCUUCCUCAAGAAAACAAAAAAGGGUAGUAGAAAAAGGAAAGGAAACAAAGAUGUUUGAUUUAUAACAAAUUUUUUUGAAAGGUAACAAAAGGAAAAAGAUGUAUGAACUAUGAAGAGCUUGGUUAACCAACUAAGGUAUCCUCUGCCAAGAGAUCGAGUUUAAAGAGAGUGUCAUAAUAUAUAUUCUUGUGGAUCUUCGUUAUUUGUUUAAUUUACAUUCGUAUAUGUCUAAACCCAACACUAAUCUUUUGAUAUAUUUUCAUCGGCAGAGAAAAGAUAAGAAAGAACAAUCAACAAUCAGCAGAAAAAGGUAAAGACAUUGAGCAGAAAUUUGGCGUGUUUCCUGCGCCGGACAGUGUCAUGAAUGUACCAUCAGCACCCAAUUGUGUACACAGAUGACUCUCAAAAUGAUAGUCACCAAGGAGAGGGUUGGAACAAGGAAUCUGACAAUGGAAGGCAAGUUCGAGCUCGUAAAAAUUAGGGGCUCUGUCACUGCCUUUGAAUGUCAUCUAUCGAUCUUUGAUUUACUCAAACUUCAUGUUCAUACCAUUGCCUU